CUCUUUCCACGGUCUCCCUCUGAUGCCCAGCCGAGGCUGGACUGUACUGCUGCCAUCUCGGCUCACUGCAACCUCCCUGCCUGAUUCUCCUGCCUCAGCCUGCCAAGUGCCUGCGAUUGCAGGCACGCGCCGCCACGCCUGACUGGUUUUCGUAUUUUUUUGGUGGAGACGGGGUUUCGCUGUGUUGGCUGGGCUGGUCUCCAACUCCUAACCGCGAGUGAUCCGCCAGCCUCGGCAUCCCGAGGUGCCGGGAUUGCAGACGGAGUCUCGUUCACUCAGUGCUCAGUGGUGCCCAGGCUGGAGUGCAGUGGCGUGAUCUCGGCUCGCUACAACCUCCACCUCCCAGCCGCCUGCCUUGGCCUCCCAAAGUGCCGAGAUUGCAGCCUCUGCCCGGCCGCCACCCUGUCUGGGAAGUGAGGAGCGCCUCUUCCCGGCCGCCCAUUGUCUGGGAUGUGAGGAGCCCCUCUGCCUGGCUGCCCAGUCUGGAAAGUGAGGAGCGUCUCUGCCGGGCCGCCAUCCCAUCUAGGAAGUGAGGAGCGCCUCUUCCCGGCCGCCAUCCCAUCUAGGAAGUGAGGAGCGUCUCUGCCCGCUGCCCAUCGUCUGAGAUGUGGGGAGCGCCUCUGCCCUGCUGCCCCGUCUGGGAUGUGAGGAGCGUCUCUGCCCGGCUGCCCCGUCUGAGAAGUGAGGAGACCCUCUGCCUGGCAACUGCCCCGUCUGAGAAGUGCGGAGCCCCUCCGCCCGGCAGCCACCCCGUCUGAGAAGUGAGGAGCCCCUCCCCCUGGCAGCCACCCCAUCUGGGAAGUGAGGAGCGUCUCCGCCCGGCAGCCACCCCGUCCGGGAGGGAGGUGGGGGUCAGCCCCCGCCAGGCCAGCCGCCCCGUCCGGGAGGGAGGUGGGGGGUCAGCCCCCGCCAGGCCAGCCGCCCCGUCCGGGAGGGAGGUGGCGGUCAGCCCCCCGCCCGGCCAGCUGCCCCGUCCAGGAGGGAGGUGGGGGGGUCAGCCCCCCGCCCGGCCAGCCGCCCCGUCCCGGAGGUGAGGGGCACCUCUGCCCGGCCGCCCCUACUGGGAAGUGAGGAGCCCCUCUGCCCGGCCACCACCCCGUCUGGGAGGUGUACCCAACAGCUCAUUGAGAACGGGCCAUGAUGACGAUGGCGGUUUUGUGGAAUAGAAAGUGGGGAAAGGUGGGGAAAAGAUUGAGAAAUCGGAUGGUUGCCGUGUCUGUGUAGAAAGAGGUAGACAUGGGAGACUUUUCAUUUUGUUCUGUACUAAGAAAAAUUCUUCUGCCUUGGGAUCCUGUUGAUCUGUGACCUUACCCCCAACCCUGUACUCUCUGAAACAUGUGCUGUGUCCACUCAGGGUUGAAUGGAUUAAGGGCGGUGCAAGAUGUGCUUUGUUAAACAGAUGCUUGAAGGCAGCAUGCUCCUUAAGAGUCAUCACCACUCCCUAAUCUCAAGUACCCAGGGACACAAACACUGCGGAAGGCCGCAGGGUCCUCUGCCUAGGAAAACCAGAGACCUUUGUUCACUUGUUUAUCUGCUGACCUUCCCUCCACUGUUGUCCUGUGACCCUGCCAAAUCCCCCUCUGCGAGAAACACCCAAGAAUGAUCAAUUAAAAAAAAAGAAAAAAGAAAAAAAUUAGCUGGGCCUGGUGGCAUGUGCCUGUAGUCCCAGCCACUUGGGAGGCUGAGGCAGGAAAAUCGCCUGAACCCGGGAGGUAGAGGUUGCAGUGAACUGAAAUUGUGCCACCGCACUCCAGCCCGGCAACAGAGCAAGACUCUGUCUCAAAUAAAGAGAAAGGACAAGGCUGUGGCUCACUGAAUGGUAGCAAAGUCAUGGUGAUGCUGCACUGAUGAAACUUUCUGGAAAUUCUACGUUUGAAACUUGCUGGAAAUCAGCUGUGGUGUCAUGUUGAAACCAACCCAAUUGUCCCACAGAACUGAUAUUUAUGGUUUUUUUAAAAUAAAUGUAGAAGUUGACCUUCAUGAGUCUUGAAACUUGAAAAUGUUACACUUGUCUUAUCUGAAUUUAUUUCUCAGGAAACCAACUAUCAGGCCUCCCAGAUAGUAUCAAGGAACUGAAACUUCCCAGAUCACAGCAUCUGUACAAUGAGACACCAGACCCUUCACUGGUCAUGAUUACCUGACCACCUGCCACCUGCUUCCUGCUGAACAACUCUUCUUUCUUAUCCUCCCCUAAUUCCUGUUUUCCUGUAUGUAGCUACAUUUCUUUUCUGCUGUAUAAACUCCUAAUUUUAGUUGGUCACGGAGAUGGAUUUGAAGCUGAUCUCCCACCUCCAUGGCUGCAGUACCUGAUUAAAGCUUUCUUUCCUGGCAGUACUGGUUGUCUCAGUGACUGGCUUUCUGUGCAGCCAGCAGCAAGACCUAGACAAAACCCCUGGUGUUUUGGUAAUAAUGUCACAGAACUUGCCAGAAAUCAGCCAUCUAAGGUUCUUGGGAAAGCUAUUUACAGGAAAGUGUCCCACCAGAGGCUCCUUUCUGAAAAUAAUGCCAGAGAAGAGUGUUGGGAGACGUUCCUGGCUACUGGCAAUGAAGUAGUAGGCAGGCGCUGGACAAGCCCCUUGUUCUGCAGAAGCCUGUCUACCAAGCACACUAAAAUUGGAAAGGAAAGCCCAUUCCAUGCAGGAAAAAUAGUUAAAGGUCCCAAAUCCAUUUUCUCAGAGCAGGAAAUGAUGAGAGAAUUUGAAGCUGAGAGUCAAGAAAUUGAUUACUGGCACACUAUGUAAUCUUUUUACAUUGUUUAACUUUUACGUUAGCAGCUUUGGAAACUAUUUAUUUCCAAAAUUACUUUGUUAUUGUUUGUUUGUUUUUGAGACAGCGUUUUGCUCUGUUACGCCAGCUGGAGUGCAGUGGUGUGAGCACAGCUCACUGCAGCCUCAAACACCUAGGUUCAAGCAAUUCUCCUGCCUCAACCUCCCAAGUAGCUAGGAUUACAGGUGCGUGCCACCAUGCCCUGCUAAUUAUUUUUGUUAAAUUUUUGUAGGCCGGGUGUGGAGCUCACUCCUGUAAUCCCAGCUCUUUAGGAGGCUGAGGCAGGGGGAUUGCUUGAGCUCAGGAGUUCGAAAUCAGCCUGAGCAAGGUGGCAAAACCCUGUCUCUACAAAAAAUACAAAAAAUUAGCCAGGCAUGGUGCCACAGGUAUGUGCUCCCAGCUACUUGGGAGGUUGAGGCAGAGGAUCUCUUGAGCCCAGAAGGUUGAGGCUGCAGUGAGCCAAGAUCCCGCCACUGUACUCAGCCUGGGUGGCAGAGUGAGACUGUGUCUCAAAAAAAAAUUUUUUUUUUUAAAGAUGGGGUCUUGCUAUAUUGCACAGGCUAGUCUUGAACUCUUGACCUCAAGUGGUCCUCCUGCCUUGGCCUCCCAAAGUGCUGGGAUUACAGAUCAUCUUGCUCAGCCUAUUUCCAAAAUUUUUCAUUACCCCAAAUAGAAACUGUAACCAUUAAGCAAUAACUCCCCAUUCUCUAUCUCUGUAGUCCCUGGUGACAUCUAAUCCACUUUUAUUUUUUUAUAAAUUUGCAUAUCCUAGCUACCUUAUACAAGUACAAUCAUACAGUGUUUGUCCUUUUGUGACUGGCUGUGAUACUUAGCAUAAUGUCUUCACGGUUCAUCAUGUUGUAGCAUGUAAAAAAGCCAUGAUAUGUAUAUACAACAUUUUGUUUAUCCAUUCA
rnacentral:lncRNA from 1 species